AUUCGUCUGAAGAGUCUCAAAUAGGAUGAAACGUUCGUCAUGUAU
rnacentral:hammerhead_ribozyme from 1 species